UAGUUCUAUGUUCAUGGUAUCAUGGACAGUUCAUUUUUUACAUGUAUGUACUUAUGUAUGUAUGUAUGCAUGCAUGCAUGUAUUCAUUCAUUCAUUCAUUCAUUCUUGUGUGCAUAUGUGUACUUGCUCUUGUGUGCAGGCAUAUGCAUGGCACAGCUCACGUGGAGUGCAACCAUGGGCUUUUCCACCUAUAUCCCUGUUCUGGAAUGACAACUCAGAGGUUUAUUAUUUAUUAAUAAUGCCUAGACCAUAAGCUAGGCUUGUUCCCACUAGCUUGUAACUUAACCUUUUUAAUACUGUUCUAUGUCUGCCACAUAGCUGGUUACUUCUUCUCAAUUUCCUAUGUCCAGCUACCUCUCAGUGACUAAAAUUCCGUGGCUACACUGGAGAUCAGUGGACAACUUUCUCUGCUCUGUGGUUCCAGGGAUCAAACUCAAGUCAUUUUUCUUGUAUGUAAGGCUUUCUUUCACCCACUGAGCCAUCUCUCUGGCCCUGGUAUCUAAUUCUUGAUAAGCUAAGCAUCAAAAGAAUCUAUUGUCUGUGUUUGCAAUUUCAGAACACUAAAAUGUAUAUUGAUACAUUUAGAAAAUACUAGAAUCAGACCAUCUUUGAUUCUUGGUAGAAGCAUAAAUGUCUUAUUUGCUACUUUGUCCUCGCAGGUUUGUUUGGGAUAUACAACUGAAUCAAAAGGAAAGGUCCGGUGAAUACCUUGGGAAGUAAAUUUAAAAACAAACAAACAUUGUGAUUGAAGCCUACAAGAGUCUACAAGAAUAAGGCGCACCAGUCAUUUAAGAAAUGGAGUGAUUGACAGACUCCAUGUGGCCUUAGAUAAGAUGGGCCAUGGACAGAAAAUGGACUAGGUUUUCAAAAGAUUCUAAACCCAAGGGCUCUUCCCCCAAAUGAAAGGACUACACUUAGGGGAGAGGGAGCAAAGGGUCAAAACAGAGAAACACAUGACAUCUCCUGCUUAGAAGAGAGACUUUUGUAGUAUACUUCCACUUGCCUGAGGUCAAAACCAAACAAAAGGGAAUUCUGGGUGUAGGGUAUUCCACCAAACAAGAGUUUCUUCAAACCUGGACUUAUUUCCUACCUAGACGAUCAGACAGCAGAAGUUUGAAAAAUGAAACUAAAGCCAUCCCAUAGUUGUGUUUCCAAGAACAUUCGAUAUAAAAUCCUGGGGUCGGAUAGGUGCCUAACCUUUGUCCUCGGGAAUAUUUGAGGGCUGGUAUCAGUUUGCAGCUGUGAUGAAGCACAACCCUCGCCAUCCCCACACCACUCUGGACUCAAAGACCAUGGCAUUAAUUACACACUGAGAGCAACAACUCAUGAAUAUUUAACAUACUCAUCUAUACUUAAUGAAUAAAUUUGCAUUUUGACACUAUUAUUUAAUGUGCUUUAAGGAAAUACUGCUCAUUACCUUUCAAUUUUGUAGAUUAGUUGAGUGUAAUCAGAAUGAUAAGGCAGGAGAAAUAUAGUAUUAUUUAAAUAACAUUGUGUUUUACGAGUCCUGCUCCUGUGAGCGUUUCCUCCUUAUUCUUAAAAGCCAGUGUUUAUUCCCCUCUGCUCUAGCUGCUGUGUCUUCCACCAUUUUGCCCCAUGUUCCUUUCAGAAGGGAGAUUCUUUAAAUUCGUGAGGAAACAAUGCAAAUUAAAUAAUCAGUGUUUGCUUCCUCGCUGAGCGCUCUCUCAGGCCAUCCUCUCACACAGACUCCCCAUGCAAUUGGCAGGAAUCGCAUCCGGUCCUGGCAGUCUCAGCAGAGAGGCCAUGACCCUCACCACAGGCAGGGGGCACUGCACAAUUAGUGGCAGAGAGAGAAGGUCUCUGACUCGCCCCUUUAAAAGAUAGAACCCUAAGGAAGGGGUGGCUGAGCAAAAAAAAAUGGCAAGAACAUUCCUGAAGCAAAGCCUUAAUAUUGAUGCCUUUUCACACACCGGGAAUCGUUCACUUACAACACGGGCACAGAAUCUUCACAUCCGUGCAAGGCUCAGGGAUCGAGAAAGACUGUAGAGGGAUGUUUACAUGAAUGCCCAGUGCCUUUUGCAACAGAAAGGAACAAGAAUUAGAACGAGAGAUAGGAAAGAUGCUGUGGAGGCUAAGAGUGCUUUCUACCAACUGUUCGGACAUGAGUUAAGAUAAAACCCAACUACUGCAAGCUGUCCUGUAAACCCUGUAUGAACACCAUGGCAUGGGUGUUGUGGAUUGCCCUGGUGUCGUUUAUAUUUUGAUGCUAAUUCUGGUUCCUAAAGAGGGACUGCCCUGCCCUGACAAGGAGUGGGCCACUUACUCAGGUGGUUCCAUAUGAAACUUCUCCCCAUUUUAACUGGUCAAAUAAAAGGCUAGAGCCUGUGAUUGGGCAGUGGAAGGGAAAGGUAGGGCUGAAAUUUGUAGAGAAGGAGAGAGAGGAAGGAGGAAGAGAGAGGAUGAUAUGGAGGGAUGGAGAGAGAGGAUGACAGAGGAAGAGGAGGUGAAAGAUGGAACAGAACCAUGUGGCUUGGAGGAGUAGCAAGUAACAAGGGAUUUCCUAGCUGGGGAACAGAGCAGUGUAGUGGACUAUCUGCAGCCUGGUGGUCCUUGGCGGUUGGUAUAGCCAACCGCCAGGGUGGUCGGUCUAUUGAACUCACUCAAGUGGUAGCUCCAGGUGUUCUCAGAAGGGACAGCUGCUGGGCAGCUUAGCAAAGACAGCAGAGGUAUGGGCACCUGCUAGUCUCAGAGCCUAGCCAGAACUAGUGUGGUUUUCUAAAAUUACAUGGAAUGCAUGGGUGCACCUCUCCCCAAACCAAAUAAAUGUUUUUUUUUCGUUUUUUUGUUUGUUUGUUUGUUUGUUUGUUUGUUUUCAAAAUAAAGGAUCAGAAUGAAGCCUACUCGAUAGACUCAGAGAACUAUGAGUCCUCCAGUGGAAGAAUAGAAGUAAAACACAGCUGGACAGCUCUGUGCUGAAGGCUGGCCUACGCCAUCUCACUUAACCCUUACCUCCAUGUCCCUGCGCUGUUACAUCCCAGCCAUCACUGUCAUCGUCCUCAUACAAAUGAGGGAAGCAGAGCCAGCAGCUUGUAAGUGAUAGGAAGUCGUUCCUCAGCCUUCUGGAGGUUACAAAGCUCAAGAUCAAGUGUGAAGAGGCGAGUGAGCUCUCUGUGCCCCUUCACAAGGACCAAGCCACUAACCAAAGGCCUCAUCUCCAAAUGCCAUCACAGGGUUCUCUGGGAGCUAUGGGGUGUGGAGUUUCAGACAUUCCAGCCCAUCCAGGUGGACCGUGAUGAUUUAACUUCAAAGCAAGAGUGUAGUUGGUGCCCACUGCACUAAGCAGAUAUGGUGGAUCGGAACCAUUGCCUUCCCUCAGCAUGCAGACUGACCCGGAAAGAAUCUUGUAUUCGUUAGGAUUGCCAGGUCUCCAGCUAAAGCUCUGAUGAAGGACUAUGGACGACUUCAGAAAUUAUUCGUCAUCUAGUGCUAAAGUUUCCUACAGCACAGUUGCAGAAAGUAGCUUCAGUGUGACCCGAGCUUUAUUUAAACAACACGUAUACCUCCAGGUAAAAUAUGAGUGAAAAAGUCUAAAGAGAACUCCUCCUCGUUUUUUUAAGGAAAUAAAUAAGCACUUUUCUGAGCAGCCAACAUGAUUGUGUGCAUGGAUAGAUACUUAUGUCCCUAAUGAUAUGCAGAGAUCAGCUAUUCUUCUACACUACAGAGAAAGGAUUGAGAAAAGGCAUAGCUUUGCAGUGCUGGAGCUCAAAGGAAAGGCCUCAAGCAUGCUAAGGGUUAACAAGUCCUUCAUAAGGGCCUGUAAUCCAUCAGGAAGUGUGCCAGUUAAUUCUCACUGACAUGAGAGUAUAAAUAACUUUUAUUUAUUCUUCUUCCUUUUAUGUAUUCUUUGUAUUGCAGACUAAUCAACCAUCUUAAUUUUAUAAGGAAACACCUGUGUCAGAUAUUUGUAUCUUCUUAUGUGCGUUUGAGUGGCCUGGCUCUGGGGAGCAGAAUACAGGAGUAAUGUUAGUAGUACAUUUUCCAUUAGUGUUCAUGGAGGGGGCUUAAGUGGAACUCUCUAUGAAAUCCCACUAGCUGGAAGAACCCUGCCUCUUGCAGCCGGUUUAUGCAAAUGCAGAGACAACUCUAUCAACACCCAACCUUCCUCCAGCAAGCAAAGAUGCAGCCUGGGUGAGUUAGAACACACUAGAAUUGGAACAGACAUGCCCCUGUGGCCCACACAUAUCUGUCCUCUCAGCAGUUUAAUUGCUUGUUAGUAAGAACGUAGGAGAACCUUGAACAUGAAGUGAGUUCCAGUUCCUUGGGUUUCAUGAGACCACUGUCACUUGCAACAGGCUCCUGUGUUCAGGGGAGCCAUUAUCUCCAAGAAUCAUAAUUUCUUUGUAUACAUUUGGAGAGCAAACUUUAUGCAGAGUUUAUUCCCUGGUGGCUUGAGGUCUCCUCUACUUUGAGUUUUAAGCUCCCCAUCUGCAGAUGUUCUCCUGGCUGUGGACUUCUCGGCUUUAGAGCGGGACAGAUGUUUCUCCUGUCACUGCGUUGUGUCAGUCAGAUAAUGAAAUGCUUAAUUAGUUCUUUUUUUUUCCUUGCCACAAGAUCACUUUAUAAAAUAGCAAAUUAAGAGCUUUGAAAAUGAGCCAUCUCAUUUGGCGCUCAGCUAUCUAUGUCCCUGGUGUGUUUUCUGGGUGUUUGCUUUCAUGAGCAUACUCACAGAGGGUCCUUUGCUUAGGCCCCAGGCACAGACACCAGACUAAGGGUCCAGUUCAGGAGUUGGGACCACCAGCCACCCAACAGCUCAAGUAGCUGUUGCUUUAUCUGCAAAUAACCCAGAGGCAAUGGGCAGGACUGCUCCUGGCAGCUAAGAGGACACCCCUGGCAGAGUCUACUCUGUGCUGCUCUCUCUAGAACUUUGUCUCUCGGCUGACGUAGAAAGGGGGAUCUUGUUUUUUUAAUGUUAAUUUAUUUUUAAUGUAUUUUAUACACUCCAUAUUCCAUUC